UACGUAGGGGGCAAGCGUUGUCCGGAAUCAUUGGGCGUAAAGCGCGUGUAGGCGGCACGGUCAGUCCGGUGUGAAACCUUGGGGCUCAACCCCAAGCCUGCACUGGAUACUGCCGCGCUCGAGUCCGGGAGAGGGAAGCGGAAUUCCUAGUGUAGCGGUGAAAUGCGCAGAUAUUAGGAAGAACACCGGUGGCGAAGGCGGCUUCCUGGAACGGUACUGACGCUAAGACGCGAAAGCGUGGGGAGCGAACAGG
rnacentral:rRNA from 1 species